AGUGAACGCUGGCGGUAGGCCUAACACAUGCAAGUCGAACGGCAGCACAGUAAGAGCUUGCUCUUACGGGUGGCGAGUGGCGGACGGGUGAGGAAUACAUCGGAAUCUACUUUUUCGUGGGGGAUAACGUAGGGAAACUUACGCUAAUACCGCAUACGACCUACGGGUGAAAGCAGGGGAUCUUCGGACCUUGCGCGAUUGAAUGAGCCGAUGUCGGAUUAGCUAGUUGGCGGGGUAAAGGCCCACCAAGGCGACGAUCCGUAGCUGGUCUGAGAGGAUGAGCAGCCAAAGUGGAACUGAGACACGGUCAAGAAGCCUACGGGAGGCAGCAGUGGGGAAUAUUGGACAAUGGGCGCAAGCCUGAUGCAGCCAUACCGAGUGGAUGAAGAAGGCCGUCGGGUUGUAAAGCCCUUUCAGUGGGAAAGAAAAGCGGCAGGUUAAUACCCCGCUGUUCUGACGGUACCCAAAGAAUAAGCACCGGCUAACUUCGUG
rnacentral:rRNA from 1 species